UACGGGGGGGACAAGCGUUGUUCGGAAUUACUGGGCGUAAAGGGCGCGUAGGCGGGCCUUCAAGUCGGGUGUGAAAGCUGGCGGCUUAACCACCGGAUUGCAUUCGAUACUGUUGGGCUUGAGUACAGGAGAGGAGGGCGGAAUUCCAGGUGUAGCGGUGAAAUGCGUAGAUAUCUGGAAGAACACCAGUAGCGAAGGCGGCUCUCUGGCCUGAUACUGACGCUGAGGCGCGAAAGCGUGGGUAGCGAACAGG
rnacentral:rRNA from 1 species